UUUUACGUCUGCUAAUUGGAAUGAGAACAAUUUAAAUCCCUUAUCGAGGAUCCAUUGGAGGGCAAGUCUGGUGCCAGCAGCCGCGGAUAAUACCAGCUCCAAUAGCGUAUAUUAAAGUUGUUGCAGUUAAAAAGCUCGUANUUGGAUUUCUGGGUUGGAGCCGCCGGCCCGGCACUUCGGUGCUGUGUUGUUGGUUGGCUCUACCCAUCUUUUCGGCACAACCAGCCUGCUCUUCACUGAGUGAGUUGGCGAUGCUGAUCUUUUACUUUGAAAAAAUUAGAGUGUUCAAAGCAGGCUUAUUGCUGUGAAUACAUUAGCAUGGAAUAAUAAUAUAGGACUUCUGUCUUAUUUUGUUGGUUUCUAAGAUGGAAGUAAUGAUUGAUAGGGAUAGUUGGGGGUGCUCGUAUUCAGCGGCCAGAGGUGAAAUUCUAUGAUUCGCUGAAGACGAACUUAUGCGAAAGCAUUCACCAAGGAUGUCUUCUUUAAUCAAGAACGAAAGUUGGGGGAUCGAAGACGAUCAGAUACCGUCGUAGUCUCAACCAUAAACGAUGCCGACUCGGGAUCGGUGGACGUUAUUCAUAUGACUCCAUCGGCACCGCNUGAGAAAUCNAAGUCUUUGGGUUCCNGGGGGAGUAUGGUCGCAAGGCUGAAACUUAAAGGA
rnacentral:rRNA from 1 species